UAUUCUGCUCCAUGAUUAAUUAAAUAGCUGCAUAUAUUGUACUAAGGUAGCAUAAUCAAUUGUCUAUUAAUUGUAGACUUGUAUGAAAGAAUGAAUAAUUAGAUACUUUAUUUAUAAUAAUGAUUGAAGUUUGAAUUUUAGUUAUAAUACUANAAUAUAUUAUAGGGACGAGAAGACCCUNUAAAGCUUAAAAAUAUAANUUUAUUUUAAGAUAAUUUUAUAUUUUAAAUUGGGGCAAUUUUUUAUAAUCUAAAAUAUAAAAAAAUUUUUUAUAAUUUUAUAAGAUCCUUUAUUAAAGAUAAUUUGAAUAAGUUACUCUAGGGAUAACAGUAUAAUUUUUAUUUAAAAGUACAAAUUUACAAUAAAGAUUAUAACCUCGAUGUUGAAUUAAUUUAAUAUUAUAGUGAAGAAGCUAUUUUUAUUUGACUGUUCGUCAAUUAAUUAUUUACA
rnacentral:rRNA from 1 species